GGUACAGAGCAGAUUAGCAUGGCUCCUGUGCAAGGAUGACAUAAAAAUAUAUGAGGUGUUCCAUAUUUUU
rnacentral:snRNA from 1 species